rnacentral:lncRNA from 1 species
CUACAUAGAAAGAUAGGAGUUAGGAGCCAAUAGUAAAAGAUGGAAGCGACCACGAGAAGUAGGAAGUCAUCCCAUGAAGACUGGUAUAAAAGGCUCCUACAACCUCAUCCAGGGGACGAACCCUCCUCUUCGAUUACUUGAUCGGUAGCAAAAUCAUCUUCACCAGCUCCCGAGCGAACUAGUGGUUCUAGAGAGCAGAGCCAUCCC